GGGGUGAAGCUCAGUGACACACCAUCUGCCUUGCAUGCAGAAGGUCCCAGGUUCAAACCCCAGCAUCUGCA